UACGUAGGUGACAAGCGUUGUCCGGAUUUACUGGCGUAAAGAGCGCGCAGGCGGUCGUUCAAGUCGAGUGUGAAAGCCCCCGGCUCAACUGGGGAGGGUCACUCGAUACUGAUCGACUCGAAGGCAGGAGAGGGAAGUGGAAUUCCCGGUGUAGUGGUGAAAUGCGUAGAUAUCGGGAGGAAACACCAGUGGCGGAAGGCGGACUUCCUGGCCUGUUCUUGACGCUGAGGCGCGAAAGCUAGGGGAGCAAACGGGG
rnacentral:rRNA from 1 species